AUUGAACGCUGGCGGCAUGCCUUACACAUGCAAGUCGAACGGCAGCGGACCUUCGGGUGCCGGCGAGUGGCGAACGGGUGAGUAAAGUAUCGGAACGUACCUUUCAGUGGGGGAUAACGUAGCGAAAGUUACGCUAAUACCGCAUAUUCUGUGAGCAGGAAAGCAGGGGAUCGCAAGACCUUGCGCUGAUUGAGCGGCCGAUAUCAGGUUAGCUAGUUGGUGAGGUAAAGGCUCACCAAGGCGACGAUCUGUAGCGGGUCUGAGAGGAUGAUCCGCCACACUGGAACUGAGACACGGUCCAGACUCCUACGGGAGGCAGCAGUGGGGAAUUUUGGACGAAUGGGGCGGAACCCUACGAUCCACGCCACUGCCGCGUCGAGUGAAG
rnacentral:rRNA from 1 species